rnacentral:rRNA from 1 species
CCCGAUUGCAGCGUACUCUCCGGAGUGACGGGUACACUGUGGGGACCGCCGCUGCUAAAGCGGAGGAAGGAAUGGGCAACGGUAGGUCAGUAUGCCCCGAAUAUCCCGGGCUACACGCGAGCUACAAUGGUUGGUACAAUGGGUAUCUACCCCGAAAGGGGAUGGAAAUCUCCUAAAGCCAAUCUUAGUUCGGAUUGAGGGCUGCAACUCGCCCUCAUGAAGCUGGAAUCCGUAGUAAUCGCGUUUCAACAGAACGCGGUGAAUACGUCCCUGCACCUUGCACAAAAACGUUGCAGUUCUAGCUCCGUGCAAAAAUUGGCUUUAGGAGAUUUCCAUCCCCUUUCGGGGUUGAUACUAAUUGGGC